CCCUGCGAAGUAGACUCUCUUAAAACAGAAUACCAAGGAGUCACAGGAGGGGCGAAGUAACCCCAGGAAGUGGUGUCUCUGGACUUCGCCUUCCUGGCAAAAGCAAUCCAGCCGCCGGGCAGUCUCUCCUAAUUCCUGUGGGGCUGUUAUUAGCAUAAGCAGCAGCUUCUUCGCUUCUUGGGGUUGGGCGAGUGGGAUCCUAGGUCUGGGAUGUGGUGGGUGCGGCUCAGCAGCAGCCUCGCCGCCCACUUUCCUUGGAUGUAGAGGCAGGUUGUUCACAUGAACUCUAGCGAACCACUAGAGGUUGGCAGUAGUAGGUUAGCUCCUUCAGGAUGUGGGUUUCAGGGGGGCGUUUUGAUGUGAUUUAAUUCCGACCGUGAAACAAUUGCUAGGGGCUGGCUGCGCUGCUGUUGGUUUCCCUCCUCCUGGUGGCUUUGGGUAUAGUUUGGGAGCGAACUUGUUUAAUAUCAACACUUCCUUUUGCACGAGGCGCUGUCGCCCGUGCUGUGCCUUUGAGGGUUGGUGGGUGGAGGGCUGAGAGAGUAGUGGGGGCGAGGCGCCCAACCCCGGCCGGCCGGAACCCAGGCUGCAGGGAGCAGAGUUAGCCGUUCUGCCUCGGGGCCCCUUUGUGUGACUAAAUUUGGCAAGAAUAUGGAUCCCAGCCAGUCUUUCCACGUGUGCUCCCAGCUCCCAGCUGAGAAGGCCAAGGGUUCUCUUCCGGGUCUCCUCACCUGCAGGGUCUUUGGUUAGCUGUGUCCCAACACCUUCAGGAGGAAACAGUUCUGCAUAAAAACCAGUUCAGCUAUUAAGGGAGCCACUCAAUGCAGCAGAGCAAGAUCAGGCAACGUUUCCAAGAGAAGAGCUGUUUACCAUCAAAGAGACUGCUUCCUCACAGACAACGGGAUAUUAUACACAAAGAUGGAGUCAACAGGAAUGAGAGAAGCUCCGCAGUAGCUGCCGAGGAUACAGUCAUGCCCUAAGCAGACAUGACGGAGGCCACAUGGUGUUUACCCUCUAUAUAAGGAAGGACAGAUGCUCAAUGAAUCAUUACAGUGGACUCAGUGCCACUGCCUGCUGGAAUGCUCCCUCACCUUGGUGGCUCGAUCAUCCAAAGGUCUUGCAAAGCACCCAGAACCACCAGCCCAGGACUGACACCACCCACAGUGUGUUAGGCCCUUCAGCAUCAAUUAUCAAACAAGAAAGUGCGCCACAGGCUUGCCCACAGGUGAACCUGGUCAAGGCAUUUUCCCAGACCCAAGGUAAACCAAAUGAAAACAAAAGAUGCAUGAGGUCCCAAGAAGACUGACAGCUUACCAACAGUGAGUGGCAGGGCAGCGUUAGGCAGACCAAGGUCAACGCCUGACCUUUCCCUGGUCAUUCUCAGAAAACCAUUCCUGUCAAAAUGAGUUGUGGGGUUUGGGAACUGGCUAGGUCUGUAAAGUGCUUGCUGUGCACAGAGGAAAGCCGGGGUUUGGUCCCCAAGAACUCCCAUAAAAGCAGAGGCACACACCUGGAAUUUGAGGUACAGAAUGGGGAGGACUCUGGGGCUCAAAGGACAGACAGCCAGUCUAGCCCACAUAUUGACUCCCGAUUCAGUAAAGAGAGGGGAGGGGAAGACAUCCCGUGGACCUCAAACUCUUACACACACACACACACACACACACACAAACUGAGUCAUGAACAGUCCAGGGACUUAGAAUGACAGAACUAAAAUUAAAAUGA